AAUAGAUACCCUGGUAGUCCACGCCGUAAACGUUGGGCGCUAGAUGUGGGGGCCAUUCCACGGUUUCCGCGUCGUAGCUAACGCAUUAAGCGCCCCGCCUGGGGAGUACGGCCGCAAGGCUAAAACUCAAAGGAAUUGACGGGGGCCCGCACAAGCGGCGGAGCAUGCGGAUUAAUUCGAUGCAACGCGAAGAACCUUACCAAGGCUUGACAUAUACGAGAACACUGCAGAAAUGUAGGACUCUUUGGACACUCGUAUACAGGUGGUGCAUGGUUGUCGUCAGCUCGUGUCGUGAGAUGUUGGGUUAAGUCCCGCAACGAGCGCAACCCUCGUCGCAUGUUGCCAGCACGUAAAGGUGGGAACUCAUGUGAGACUGCCGGGGUCAACUCGGAGGAAGGUGGGGAUGACGUCAAAUCAUCAUGCCCCUUAUGUCUUGGGCUUCACGCAUGCUACAAUGGCCGGUACAAAGGGCUGCAAUACCGUAAGUGGAGCGAAUCCCAAAAAGCCGGUCUCAGUUCGGA
rnacentral:rRNA from 1 species